GAUGAACGCUGGCGGCGUGCUUAACACAUGCAAGUCGAGCGAGAAAAGUUCUUCGGAGCUUUUCUAGCGGCGGACGGGUGAGUAACACGUGGGCAACCUGCCUCAUAGGGGGGAAUAGCCUUCCGAAAGGAAGAUUAAUACCGCAUAACAUUGUUGAAAGGCAUCUUUUAACAAUCAAAGGAGCAAUCCGCUAUGAGAUGGGCCCGCGGCGCAUUAGCUAGUUGGUGAGGUAACGGCUCACCAAGGCGACGAUGCGUAGCCGACCUGAGAGGGUGAGCGGCCACAUUGGAACUGAGACACGGUCCAGACUCCUACGGGAGGCAGCAGUAGGGAAUAUUGCACAAUGGGGGAAACCCUGAUGCAGCAACGCCGCGUGAGUGAUGAAGGUCUUCGGAUUGUAAAGCUCUGUCUUUAGGGACGAUAAUGACGGUACCUAAGGAGGAAGCCACGGCUAACUACGUGCCAGCAGCCGCCGUAAUAC
rnacentral:rRNA from 1 species